UACCCGCGGCAAGACGGAAAGACCCCGUGAACCUUUACUAUAGCUUGACACUGAACAUUGAGCCUUGAUGUGUAGGAUAGGUGGGAGGCUUUGAAGUGUGGACGCCAGUCUGCAUGGAGCCGACCUUGAAAUACCACCCUUUAAUGUUUGAUGUUCUAACGUGGACCCGUAAUCCGGGUUGCGGACAGUGUCUGGUGGGUAGUUUGACUGGGGCGGUCUCCUCCUAAAGAGUAACGGAGGAGCACGAAGGUUGGCUAAUCCUGGUCGGACAUCAGGAGGUUAGUGCAAUGGCAUAAGCCAGCUUGACUGCGAGCGUGACGGCGCGAGCAGGUGCGAAAGCAGGUCAUAGUGAUCCGGUGGUUCUGAAUGGAAGGGCCAUCGCUCAACGGAUAAAAGGUACUCCGGGGAUAACAGGCUGAUACCGCCCAAGAGUUCAUAUCGACGGCGGUGUUUGGCACCUCGAUGUCGGCUCAUCACAUCCUGGGGCUGAAGUAGGUCCCAAGGGUAUGGCUGUUCGCCAUUUAAAGUGGUACGCGAGCUGGGUUUAGAACGUCGUGAGACAGUUCGGUCCCUAUCUGCCGUGGGCGCUGGAGAACUGAGGGGGGCUGCUCCUAGUACGAGAGGACCGGAGUGGACGCAUCACUGGUGUUCGGGUUGUCAUGCCAAUGGCACUGCCCGGUAGCUAAAUGCGGAAGAGAUAAGUGCUGAAAGCAUCUAAGCACGAAACUUGCCCCGAGAUGAGUUCUCCCUGAGACUUAGAGUCUCCUGAAGGAACGUUGAAGACGACGACGUUGAUAGGCCGGGUGUGUAAGCGCAGCGAUGCGUUGAGCUAACCGGUACUAAUGAACCGUGAGGCUUAACCUU
rnacentral:rRNA from 1 species